GGGGCUGGGGCUCAGUGCUAGGGCACUUGCCUAGUAUGCAUGAGGCCCUGGGUUUAGUUCCCAGCACCA
rnacentral:tRNA from 1 species